CCUACGGGUGGCAGCAGUGGGGAAUAUUGCACAAUGGGGGAAACCCUGAUGCAGCGACGCAGCGUGAGUGAAGAAGGAUCUAGGUAUGUAAAGCUCUAUCAGCAGAGAAGAAAAUGACGGUACCUGACUAAGAAGCUCCGGCUAACUACGUGCCAGCAGCCGCGGUAAUACGGAGGGGGCAAGCGUUAUCCGGAUUUACUGGGUGUAAAGGGAGCGUAGAUGGCGCUGCAAGUCCGGAGGGAAAGCCCACGGCUUAACCGUGGUACUGCUCUUGAAACUGUGGAUCUUGAGUGCGGGAGGGGCAGGCGGAAUUCCUGGUGUAGCGGUGAAAUGCGUAGAUAUUAGGAGGAACACCGGCGGCGAAGGCAGCCUGCUGGACCGUAACUGACGUUGAGGCUCGAAAGCGUGGGGAGCAAACAGGAUUAGAUACCCCGGUAGUC
rnacentral:rRNA from 1 species